CACCUUUGCUGCGGGCCAUGAUCCUCGC
rnacentral:piRNA from 1 species